rnacentral:ncRNA from 1 species
GAUGAAGAUAAAGGCAGCGGUGCAGAUGAGUACUUUCGGGAGCCGGCAGGCUGGGAACGAAAGGAAAGGCAAUCAUCGCCGAACGGGCGCGCCGGCGGGCGUGAAUCGUGGGAUGUCAGGGAAGACCUGCCAGACUCCUUCAGGUAUGAAGAGGCGUUAUCACAUAA